rnacentral:rRNA from 1 species
UGGGCGUAAAGCGCGCGCAGGUGGUUUUGUUAAGUCGGAUGUGAAAGCCCCCCGGCUCAACCGGGGAGCUUCAUCGGAAACUGGCGAGACUAGAGUGCAGUAGAGGAAGGUGGAAUUCCAUGUGUAGCGGUGAAAUGCGUAGAGAUAUGGAGGAACACCAGUGGCGAAGGCGACCUUCUGGUCUGUUACUGACACUGAGGCGCGAAAGCGUGGGGAGCAAACAGGAUUAGAUACCCUGGUAGUCCACGCCGUAAACGAUGA